rfam:Candidatus Doudnabacteria bacterium RIFCSPHIGHO2_01_FTLL_46_14 rifcsphigho2_01_scaffold_5597, whole genome shotgun sequence.
CGCGAAGCCGUCCUCAAGAUUAGGUCUCGUUGUCCCCGUCAAACGGGACGAGAGGUUCGGGGGAGACGACCCCGCAUAUAGGCCACAGGUGUAAGGCCAGUAAUGGCUUCAGCCGAGUGGUACUAAUCAACCGAAAGUGUUUUAGAU